rnacentral:rRNA from 1 species
CAGCCGCCACGGUAAUACAGAGGGUGCGAGCGUUAAUCGGAUUUACUGGGCGUAAAGCGUGCGUAGGCGGCUAAUUGAGUCGGAUGUGAAAUCCCCGAGCUUAACUUGGGAAUUGCAUUCGAUACUGGUUAGCUAGAGUGUGGGAGAGGAUGGUACAAUUCCAGGUGUAGCGGUGAAAUGCGUAGAGAUCUGGAGGAAUACCGAUGGCGAAGGCAGCCAUCUGGCCUAACACUGACGCUGAGGUACGAAAGCAUGGGGAGCAAACAGGAUUAGAUACCCGCGUAGUCCCUGUCUCUUAUAC